rnacentral:rRNA from 1 species
GCGCAAGGAUCUGCUCCUCGAAGGAAACGGCGGCAACGCCGCAGUACGAGAGGGAUUGCCGGCGUUCUAACAUGCGUUUUGAAGAACGAACCAGGGAGUGCAUAUUGGCGGCGAGGCUAAUUCUGAUAUAGAGGAAGCCGUAGCGAAAGCGACAGGCGCGCAUGAAAAGAGGCGCGACGUAUACAAGUGCGUGCAGUCGUCCGUAUGCGACCCGAAGCCGGGCGAUCUAGGCGUAGGUAGGUCGAAGCGUGGCGAAAGCUGCGUGGAGGACCGUUUGAGGUGUUGAUAUGCAAAUCGCUCUCGUGACCCGCGUCUAGGGGUGAAAGUCCAAUCGAGGUCGGAAAUAGCUGGUUCCUCCCGAAACAUAUCGCAGUAUGACCUGGUCUGAGAUAGUCGGCGGAGUAGAGCACUGAUUGGGGAAGCCGGACUCGAAAGGGUCUGUUCUCUUGUCAAACUCCAAAACCGCCGUCGUCGUAGACGACCAGCAGUCCGGGCUGGGGGGUAAGCUUCUAGUCCGUGAGGGAGACAACCCUGACCGUGGUUAAGGUCCCCAAAUAUCGGCCAAGUGUCAACACUUAAGGGAGUCCUGGGUCAUAAACAACUGGGAGGUUAGCUUAGAAGCAGCUACCCUUCAAAGAGUGCGUAACAGCUCACCAGUCGAGGUUUGGGGCCCCGAAAAUUGACGGGGCUCAAGUCGACCACCGAUACCACGGAGUACCGCAAGGUAAUCUCGUAGGAAGGCGUUGUGUUCGGGCUGAAGCAGGGCUGUGAAGUCCUGUGGACCGUUCACAAACGAAAAUCCUGGUAAUAGUAGCAGCAAAGCAGGGUGAGAAUCCCUGCCGCCGAAGGGGCCAGGUUUCCUCGGCAAUGAUCGUCAGCCGAGGGUUAGUCGGUCCUAAGACGUACCGUAACUCGAGUACGCCAAAAGGGAAACAGGUUAAUAUUCCUGUACCAUUUAGCAAUACGCUCUGACGUCUCAGGGCAGGCCGAGCGGAGUCGUCGCUCCGUCCAAGCAGCGAACCCCGUGGAGAGCCGUAAUGGCGAGAAGCGGGCGAAUCUGUGAAUGCGCAAGUCGGCUGCACCCAGGGACCCGUGAAAAGGACAGCUAAAUGUCCGUACCGAGAACUGACACUGGUGCCCCUAGCUGAAAAGGCUAAGGCGUGUCGGAGUAAUUCAGUUAAGGGAAUUCGGCAAAUUAGCUCCGUAACUUCGGGAGAAGGAGUGCCUGCUGUGAAGACAGCAGGUCGCAGUGACCAGGGGGCUCUAACUGUCUAAUACCAACAUAGGAGAUUGCAAAUCCGUAAGGACUAGUACAAUCUCUGAAUCCUGCUCAGUGCAGGUACCUGAAACCCCGGUUCAACGGGAAGAAGGGCCUGUAAACAGCGGGGGUAACUAUGACCCUCUUAAGGUAGCGUAGUACCUUGUCGCUUAAUUGGCGACUUGCAUGAAUGGAUCAAUGAGAGCCCUACUGUCCCUAACUGGAAUCCGGUGAAGCUUACAUUCUAGUGCACAGUCUAGAGACCUCUAGGGGGAAGUGAAGACCCCGUGGAGCUUUACUGCAGCCUGUCGUUGGGUUGUGGUUCUGGAUGUACAGUGUAGGUAGGAGACGUCGAAGCGGGUGCGCCAGCAUCCGUGGAGUCGCAAUUGGGACACUACCCUUCCGGGACUACGACCCUAACUCUGAGAAGAGGACCCCGAUAGGUGGGCAGUUUGCCUGGGGCGGGACGCCCUUGAAAAGAUAUCAAGGGCGCGCAAUGGUUGACUCAAGCGGGUCGGAAACUCGCUGAAGAGUGCAAGAGCAUAAGUCAGCCUGACGUUAUUCAGCACAGCAGUGGAUGACGAGACGAAAGUCGGCUCUAGCGAACUUUUGUGCCUCCUUGGUGGGGGCCAAAAAUGACAGAAAAGUUACCCCGGGGAUAAUUGAGUCGUUGCCGGCAAGAGUACAUAUCGACCCGGCAGCUUGCUACCUCGAUGUCGGUUCUUUCCAUCCUGGCCGUGCAGCAGCGGCCAAGGGUGAGGUUGUUCGCCUAUUAAAGGAGAUCGUGAGCUGGGUUUAGACCGUCGUGAGACAGGUCGGUUACUAUCUACUAGAGGUGUGUGCAGUCUGAGGGUAAGUUGCUUUUAGUACGAGAGGAACCGAGCAACGGCGCCACUGGUCGAUCGGUUGUCUGACAAGGCAUUGCCGAGCAGCUACGCGCUAAGGAAUAAGAGCUGAAAGCAUCUAAGCUCGAAAUCUAACCUAAAAAGAGACUGCUUUAAGAGUUCCGGUAAAAGACCGGUUUGAUAGGGUCGGGAUGUAAGCAUCAAGGCAACGAGAUGUUCAGUCCGCGGCUACUAACCACUCGUGCCUAGUC